AUUGAACGCUGGCGGCAGGCCUAACACAUGCAAGUCGAACGAGUGGCGGACGGGUGAGUAAUUUCUGGGAAACUGCCUGAUGGAGGGGGAUAACUACUGGAAACGGUAGCUAAUACCGCAUACCAUCGGAUGUGCCCAGAUGGGAUUAGCUAGUAGGUGGGGUAAAGGCUCACCUAGGCGAAGAUCCCUAGCUGGUCUGAGAGGAUGACCAGCCAAACUGGAACUGAGACACGGUCCAGACUCCUACGGGAGGCAGCAGUGGGGAAUAUUGCACAAUGGGCGCAAGCCUGAUGCAGCCAUGCCGCGUGUAUGAAGAAGGCAUGCGGGUUGUAAAGUACUUUCAGCGGGGAGGCGUUAAACGCAGAAGAAGAACCGGCUAACUCCGUGCCAGCAGCCGCGGUAAUAC
rnacentral:rRNA from 1 species